UACGGAGGGUGCAAGCGUUGCUCGGAAUCACUGGGCGUAAAGCGCGUGUAGGCGGUCUCCUAAGUCUGGUGUGAAAGCCCGGGGCUUACCCCCGGAAGUGCACUGGAUACUGGGAGACUGGAGUACCGGAGAGGAGGGUGGAAUUCCUGGUGUAGCGGUGAAAUGCGCAGAUAUUAGGAAGAACACCGGUGGCGAAGGCGGCUCUCUGGAACGGUACUGACGCUGAGACGCGAAAGCGUGGGGAGCGAACAGG
rnacentral:rRNA from 1 species